rnacentral:rRNA from 1 species
GACGAACGCUGGCGGCGUGCUUAACACAUGCAAGUCGAACGGAAAGGCCCUGCUUUUGUGGGGUGCUCGAGUGGCGAACGGGUGAGUAACACGUGAGUAACCUGCCCUUUACUUUGGGGUAACUUCAGGAAACUGGGGCUAAUACCGGGUAGGAGCUCCUGCUUCAUGGUGGGGGUUGGAAAGUUUCGGCGGUUGGGGAUGGACUCGCGGCUUAUCAGCUUGUUGGUGGGGUAGUGGCUUACCAAGGCUUUGACGGGUAGCCGGCCUGAGAGGGUGACCGGCCACAUUGGGACUGAGAUACGGCCCAGACUCCUACGGGAGGCAGCAGUGGGGAAUAUUGCACAAUGGGCGGAAGCCUGAUGCAGCAACGCCGCGUGCGGGAUGACGGCCUUCGGGUUGUAAACCGCUUUCGCCUGUGACGAAGCGUGAGUGACGGUAAUGGGUAAAGAAGCACCGGCUAACUACGUG